AAAUUGAAGAGUUUGAUCAUGGCUCAGAUUGAACGCUGGCGGCAGGCCUAACACAUGCAAGUCGAACGGUAACAGGAAGAAGCUUGCUUCUUUGCUGACGAGUGGCGGACGGGUGAGUAAUGUCUGGGAAACUGCCUGAUGGAGGGGGAUAACUACUGGAAACGGUAGCUAAUACCGCAUAACGUCGCAAGACCAAAGAGGGGGACCUUAGGGCCUCUUGCCAUCGGAUGUGCCCAGAUGGGAUUAGCUAGUAGGUGGGGUAACGGCUCACCUAGGCGACGAUCCCUAGCUGGUCUGAGAGGAUGACCAGCCACACUGGAACUGAGA
rnacentral:rRNA from 1 species